rnacentral:tmRNA from 1 species
GGGGGCGAUCUUGGUUUCGACAGGGGUUGCAAAGCAGAAGAGGGCAUACCGGGGUCUCAGAUGCCCGUAAAACACUGAAUACAUAUAGUCGCAAACGACGAA